rnacentral:rRNA from 1 species
CCCUGUUUAAGUGGAUCGGGGAAAACGAUUCGUUUUUGCACAAAACACCCUGUCGUUUGGAUUAUUCAACCCGCGGUCCGAGCAAAUUUGGGUAAAGAAAAAAACACGACCAAAGGAGGAGAACGGGCUCGCCUCCUCUCCCUCUCGCUCAAGUCCUCGCCGCCGCCGCCACCACCCACGCCGGCAGCUUCCGGCGAGCUCCGACGCCGCGCAGCACGCCCCCCAACUCCCCAGAGUCCGCUCCUCCCUACCCUCCGGCCAGAUUCUCCGCUCCCGGCCUCUACCGCCCGCUCGAAACGCCACCCCCAUGGCUAGGGUUUCGGGCAGGGCUUCGCCGACGCGUCUCCGGCGGCCCAGAUGCAGAUGGAGCACGCCAUGGGAAUUCCCCAUCCACCAUGGUCGCCGCCAUCAAGGGCUUCUUCACAGAGAUGUGGAGGACGCCAUGGACCUGCAGCUCCAAGGUCAACAGGGAGGAACCCUAGCCAUAAGCACCUCCUCGGAUGACGCCUCUGCUACACCAAGAUAGAGAUAUAUAUGAUAUCUACAUGGCUGCUAUGCUACUUUUUUUGUGUGAUGAAUCAUUGUGAGUUUCGAAGAAACUUCCAAUGUUACCUCCGCCAAGUUUGCCGGCAGAAGAAGCACAUCCAUUGAGCCGUUCAAUGUCGCCUGCGGUGGCUACACCAGAGGCAUGCAACAUUGUUGAAGGGCAAAGGUACUCUAAGAAGCUGAAUGAUAAACAGGUCACCAACAUACUUAGAGCUUCCUUGGGUUUGUGGAGGACAUGUCUGGUUUCACAAAGUCAGUUUCACUUUCACGAAGACAGUGGAAAUGCAGAAAAAGGAAAGCAUGUGGAUUUAGAAAUUUCAGCAUUGUAGAGCUCAAUUGAAAUGGAAAACGGGAUUUAUAGCAUCCAGCUAGAGUGGUGAUUCGAUUUUUGAUGAUUGGUACUUUGGUUGUGAGGUCGAUGAAGACAUGAGAUGGAUUUGGUCGGGGCAGUGGGUUUGCUCGCGAGGAGGUGGGAAGGACGAAGAUAGUGGAAGAAGCUUGAGAUGAUGAUGUUGUCGGUCGGGUGUCUUCUGCUACUGAAGUUUUACCACCAUCUGGUGGUGCUUGAGAGUAGAGACGGCAUACUUUCAUCAGCAGUGGCCAAACCCCCAGCACCGCUGGUGCUGUACACCCCUGUACCCCUCGACAUCCAGUGCCUCGCGUCUGCCCAACAUGAACACCUCCUCAAUAUGUACAUCUCUGAAUUUUGCCAUUGCUAGAGAAAGUAGAGCAUUGUUUUACUGUAGCUAUAAUUUGAGUUUAGAAGAUAUACUCCUCUCUUUUUGACGUCAAUUUUUUCAGUUGACUUCUCCGUCCAGUCUCAUGUCUUUCUCUUUAGCAGGGAUAGGUGAGUACUAAACGAGUAAAAAUGUCCUUCUCUUUUUCAUAUUUCUUCCUUUUCCUUACUACUUUUGUGGCUCCAAAUCUCAUGAUGGCUCUAUGUCUGUUCUUUUUGUUGACAUGGAUUUUACCCUGAAAAUUUUCUUCUGAUCUACAAUGUUCUGCCAUCUAAAUUUGUCUGUAUAUUGUGAAUGAGUAGACACUGGUGUAGAAACCCAAUCGGAUGAAAUUACCGACUACAGAGAGGUGUAAUUAUUAAUUAAUUUCUUGCUUUAAAAGAUAUGCAACUAGCAGAGUUUCUUAUUUUUAUCAAUUGGAUUACGACCGAAGUGAAGAACUUAUGUGGACAGUCUGGCAGAUUUCAGUGGCAAGAUUUUUGUACAAUUACAGUAGCAGAUUUCAGAAAUUUGUAGAGCACAUGAUUUACAAGAACAAGAUAUUCUGUCAAGCCAUGGAUAUCAACAAUCAGUCAAGCAAAGAAAUAUUCAUGGGAGAUAUACAUGGAUCCACAAGAAUGUGCACCGUAUGGCACUACCCUUUUGUCAUCGAGCCACUAUCACAUUUUGGUCAGCAAUCAGUUCAAGCAAUUCUCAGCGCCAUUAGUCAGAAGUUGGAAUUUACAUCUAAGCGAACAAUACAUCAAGCAACAGAAGAAAAAGUGGUCAUCUCUUUUUCUUGGCACCAAGAUGCCAUACAAGCAUUCAGACUUCGGAAUCGCACACGGAGUUUGCUCCGAAACUGCUUCAACUAAGAAAUAUGGGAAUUUCUCUGAGCAAACUUUGUUUGAUGUUUUUGUUAUCGAUUUAAGCUGCACAGGCCAUGGAUGCGGCCUAGAACUGCUGUCGUCCCUGUCCUGCGAUGCGCCGACAGCCAUGGACCAGCCGCGCGAGUAGGAGCACGCCACGGCGGCUGCCAUGGAUGCGGCCGAGAACUGCUACCGCCCCUGAAUUGCAGCCGCGCCGCACCUGCCGUGUGCCCCUAUCCUGGGCAUGAGGCUGAUGCCGCCCAGUGCUGCCGCUGGGGCGUGCUACUACUCGCCUCUCCGGUCCGCUGGUGCCUCCCGCUCGGGCGGCGUACCAGGCCGACGGGGAGGCACUGUGUGCGUUCGAGCUGCUGCUCGAGUCGCCUCGUGAGUCGCGACCACUGUUGGACCCGACGGAGCCGCCGGCUGCGCGCGUCCAGGGGAGGCCAGUGCGGGAGAUGGUCCUCCUCGACUGUCCACCAACACCAAGCGAACACCAAGUCUGGGAAGGCCGCAAGGGGGAGCACUGGAAAGACACGCCACCGCCGCCGCAAGGGUUAGCCUCUGCUUCCAUGUUUCAUGAGGGCGGCGCCAUUGUUUGGACUUGUGGUGCAGCUGCUGCGUCCUGUUCGAGAGAGAAAAGAGAGGGUGAUGAGAGAGAGGGUAGAAGGAGAGGGAGAACCGCAGAGGAGCUGGCUCACCGGCGAGGUCCUGCUGCUGCUUCAGAUCUCCGUGCGGGGGGUCGGGUUCGAGCUCCUGCGAGCACUCUCGCCGCUCGGGCGCCUGGUAUAUGGGAGACUGUUUUGUGCAAGGGAAACUGA